UCCCUGCUAACUUUUCCCGCUUUGUCACUAACCUCCCUGCAUUUCAUCGUAUCCUUGUCUUCGUGUGUGUAAAAUCAGUGCCUGUCCCUCACGUGCCCCCUGCUGAAAGGUAUCUUGUUGGUCGUGUGGGCCCUCCAUCUCAUCGAUCAUAUAGAUGCAUUGUUCGGUAUGGAUACCGUGAUGUGCACCAGGAUGUUGAUUCUUUUGAAUCUGAGCUAGUUGCCAGACUGGCGGAUUUCAUCAAGUAUGAUUGCCAUCGAAGGCAUGGGAGUGACU
rnacentral:lncRNA from 1 species